rnacentral:rRNA from 1 species
AGCGAACGCUGGCGGCAGGCUUAACACAUGCAAGUCGAGCGGGCGUAGCAAUACGUCAGCGGCAGACGGGUGAGUAACGCGUGGGAACGUACCUUUUGGUUCGGAACAACACAGGGAAACUUGUGCUAAUACCGGAUAAGCCCUUACGGGGAAAGAUUUAUCGCCGAAAGAUCGGCCCGCGUCUGAUUAGCUAGUUGGUGAGGUAACGGCUCACCAAGGCGACGAUCAGUAGCUGGUCUGAGAGGAUGAUCAGCCACAUUGGGACUGAGGCACGGCCCAAACUCCUACGGGAGGCAGCAGUGGGGAAUAUUGGACAAUGGGCGCAAGCCUGAUCCAGCCAUGCCGCGUGAGUGAUGAAGGCCCUAGGGUUGUAAAGCUCUUUUGUGCGGGAAGAUAAUGACGGUACCGCAAGAAUAAGCCCGGCUAACUUCGUGCCAGCAGCCGCGGUAAU